rnacentral:rRNA from 1 species
UACGGAGGGUGCAAGCGUUAAUCGGAAUUACUGGGCGUAAAGCGUGCGUAGGCGGUUCGUUAAGUCUGUUGUGAAAGCCCUGGGCUUAACCUGGGAAUUGCAGUCGAUACUACUCAGCUAGAGUAUGGGAGAGGGCAGUGGAAUUCCCGGUGUAGCGGUGAAAUGCGUAGAUAUCGGGAGGAACAUCAGUGGCGAAGGCGGCUGCCUGGCCCAAUACUGACACUCAGGUGCGACAGCGUGGGGAGCAAC